rnacentral:rRNA from 1 species
CCUACGGGAGGCAGCAGUGGGGAAUUUUGGACAAUGGGCGAAAGCCUGAUCCAGCCAUGCCGCGUGCAGGAUGAAGGCCUUCGGGUUGUAAACUGCUUUUGUACGGAACGAAAAGACUCUGGUUAAUACCUGGGGUCCAUGACGGUACCGUAAGAAUAAGCACCGGCUAACUACGUGCCAGCAGCCGCGGUAAUACGUAGGGUGCGAGCGUUAAUCGGAAUUACUGGGCGUAAAGCGUGCGCAGGCGGUUAUAUAAGACAGAUGUGAAAUCCCCGGGCUCAACCUGGGAACUGCAUUUGUGACUGUAUAGCUAGAGUACGGCAGAGGGGGAUGGAAUUCCGCGUGUAGCAGUGAAAUGCGUAGAUAUGCGGAGGAACACCGAUGGCGAAGGCAAUCCCCUGGGCCUGUACUGACGCUCAUGCACGAAAGCGUGGGGAGCAAACAGGAUUAGAUACCCUGGUAGUCCACGCCCUAAACGAUGUCAACUGGUUGUUGGGUCUUCACUGACUCAGUAACCGAAGCUAACGCGUGAAGUUGACCGCCUGGGGAUCGGCCGCAAGGUUGAAACUCAAAGGAUUGACGGNNGAGAGNGCGAGCGACGACGAGGGAGGAGG